AGUGAACGCUGGCGGCAGGCCUAACACAUGCAAGUCGAGCGGCAGCGCGGGGGCAACCCUGGCGGCGAGCGGCGGACGGGUGAGGAAUUCGUCGGAAUCUGCCUUUUUGUUGGGGAUAACGUAGGGAAACUUACGCUAAUACCGCAUACGUCCUACGGGAGAAAGUGGGGGACCGCAAGGCCUCACGCAGAAAGAUGAGCCGACGACCGAUUAGCUAGUUGGUGGGGUAAAGGCCUACCAAGGCGACGAUCGGUAGCUGGUCUGAGAGGAUGAUCAGCCACACUGGGACUGAGACACGGCCCAGACUCCUACGGGAGGCAGCAGUGGGGAAUAUUGGACAAUGGGCGCAAGCCUGAUCCAGCCAUGCCGCGUGUGUGAAGAAGGCCUUCGGGUUGUAAAGCACUUUUGUCCGGAAAGAAAUCCCUGGAGCUAAUACCUUCGGGGGAUGACGGUACCGGAAGAAUAAGCACCGGCUAACUUCGUG
rnacentral:rRNA from 1 species